UACGAAGGGUGCAAACGUUGCUCGGAAUUAUUGGGCGUAAAGCGCACGUAGGCGGCCAACUAAGUCGGACGUGAAAUCCCCAGGCUCAACUUGGGAACUGCAUCCGAUACUGGAUGGCUUGAAUUCGGGAGAGGGAUGCAGAAUUCCAGGUGUAGCGGUGAAAUGCGUAGAUAUCUGGAGGAACACCGGUGGCGAAGGCGGGUCUCUGGGCCGUAACUGACGCUGAGGAGCGAAAGCGUGGGGAGCGAACAGG
rnacentral:rRNA from 1 species